CUGCAUAUAAAAUAUAAAAAAAAGUUUAUCAAAUCUUCAUCCUACUAUUAGUGAUAUACAGCUGGAACUUUUUUUUAAGCCUACAUUUUCACAGUAUACAUCAUAUAUUUUUAAUAUUCACAGUGUCAUGUCAUUUAUUAAAUUGUUACAAAAUAUUAAGUAAAAAAAACUCUGCUAGAGUUUACACAGCUCAGAUGUGAACACUUACAAAAAGUAGGUUCUAAUGUUAUAAAAUAGAUUUACAGAAUUCACUUUACAAUACUAAUUCAUUCCACCGCAUGCACCAUUUAAAUGUGGUUUCACAUGUGAUUUUCCUUCCUUCUUUUUUUUUUUCUUUACUCCCCAAUCCUCAACUAUUUUAUAAAAUAAG